UACGUAGGGUGCGAGCGUUAAUCGGAAUUACUGGGCGUAAAGUGUGCGUAGGCGGUUCUUCAAGUCCGUUGUGAAAGCCCCGGGCUCAACCUGGGAAUGGCAGUGGAAACUAGGGAACUUGAAUCUGGCAGAGGGGGGUGGAAUGCCGCGUGUAGCAGUGAAAUGCGUAGAGAUGCGGCGGAACACCGAUGGCGAAGGCAGCCCCCUGGGCUGAGAUUGACGCUCAGGCACGAAAGCGUGGGGAGCAAACAGG
rnacentral:rRNA from 1 species